AACAAACGCUGGCGGCGUGCCUAAUACAUGCAAGUCGAACGGGAAAAGCUUUCGGGUGAGUACUAGUGGCGCACGGGUGAGUAACGCGUGGAUAAUCUGCCCUCGAAUGGGGAAUAACUAGUCGAAAGAUUAGCUAAUACCGCAUAAGACCACGACUACUGAGGUAGUUGGGGUCAAAGGAGCAAUUCGUUUGAGGAUGAGUCCGCGUAAGAUUAGCUAGUUGGUGAGGUAAUGGCUCACCAAGGCGAUGAUCUUUAACUGGUCUGAGAGGAUGAUCAGUCACACUGGAACUGAGACACGGUCCAGACUCCUACGGGAGGCAGCAGUAGGGAAUAUUGGACAAUGGGGGCAACCCUGAUCCAGCGACGCCGCGUGAGCGAUGAAGGCCUUCGGGUCGUAAAGCUCUGUUGUAAGGGAAAAAGUUCUGAUUGUACCUUACGAGAAAGGAUCGGCUAACUUCGUGCCAGCAGCCGCAGUAA
rnacentral:rRNA from 1 species